AAAGCCCUUUCUACCCUUUGAUUUGUUUUGAACGGCUUAGAUCAAAUGGGAUUUGAUCUCUGGGGCAUUAAGAAAGGUUUUGGGGUGUGAGAUAUGAGGUGGUGUGCACAAAAACUAAAAGGAGGAGAGAUGGCGUGCGCUAUAGAGAAGAAGCUCUUCUUUCUUACAUCAAAAUUCUUCCCAAUGCCUCCUCCUCCCUUCUUCCCUUCAUCCAAUGCCCAGAUCUGAUAGA
rnacentral:lncRNA from 1 species